rnacentral:rRNA from 1 species
GAUGAACGCUGGCGGCGUGCCUAAUACAUGCAAGUCGAGCGAACAGACGAGGAGCUUGCUCCACUGACGUUAGCGGCGGACGGGUGAGUAACACGUGGAUACCCUACCUAUAAGACUGGGAUAACUUCGGGAAACCGGAGCUAAUACCGGAUAAUAUAUUGAACCGCAUGGUUCAAUAGUGAAAGCCGGUUUUGCUGUCACUUAUAGAUGGGUCCGCGCCGCAUUAGCUAGUUGGUAAGGUAACGGCUUACCAAGGCAACGAUGCGUAGCCGACCUGAGAGGGUGAUCAGCCACACUGGAACUGAGACACGGUCCAGACUCCUACGGGAGGCAGCAGUAGGGAAUCUUCCGCAAUGGGCGAAAGCCUGACGGAGCAACGCCGCGUAAGUGAUGAAGGUCUUCGGAUCGUAAAACUCUGUUAUAAGGGAAGAACAAAUGUGUAAGUAACUAGGCACGUCUUGACGGUACCGAAUCAGAAAGCCACGGCUAACUACGUG